rnacentral:rRNA from 1 species
AAUGAAGUUUUCGGAUGGAUUUUUGAUUGACUGAGUGGCGGACGGGUGAGUAACGCGUGGAUAACCUGCCUCACACUGGGGGAUAACAGUUAGAAAUGACUGCUAAUACCGCAUAAGCGCACAGUACCGCAUGGUACGGUGUGAAAAACUCCGGUGGUGUGAGAUGGGCCCGCGUCUGAUUAGGUAGUUGGUGCGGUAACGGCGCACCAAGCCGACGAUCAGUAGCCGACCUGAGAGGGUGACCGGCCACAUUGGGACUGAGACACGGCCCAAACUCCUACGGGAGGCAGCAGUGGGGAAUAUUGCACAAUGGGGGAAACCCUGAUGCAGCGACGCCGCGUGAAGGAUGAAGUAUUUCGGUAUGUAAACUUCUAUCAGCAGGGAAGAAAAUGACGGUACCUGACUAAGAAGCCCCGGCUAACUACGUGCCAGCAGCCGCGGUAAUACGUAGGGGGCAAGCGUUAUCCGGAUUUACUGGGUGUAAAGGGAGCGUAGACGGCAUUGCAAGUCUGGAGUGAAAACCGGGGCUCAACCCCGGGAUUGCUUUGGAAACUGUGGAGCUGGAGUACCGGAGAGGCACGUGGAAUUCCCUAGUGUAGACGGUGAAAUGCGUAGAUAUUAGGAGGAACACCAGUGGCG